rnacentral:rRNA from 1 species
UACGGAGGGUGCAAGCGUUAUCCGGAUUCACUGGGUUUAAAGGGUGCGUAGGCGGAAUUGUAAGUCCGUGGUGAAAUCUCCAAGCUUAACUUGGAAACUGCCGUGGAUACUAUAAUUCUUGGAUGUUGUGGAGGUUAGCGGAAUAUGUCAUGUAGCGGUGAAAUGCAUAGAUAUGACAUAGAACACCAAUUGCGAAGGCAGCUGGCUACACAAAUAUUGACGCUGAGGCACGAAAGCGUGGGGAUCAAACAGG